ensembl:ncRNA ZC53.19 ncRNA
CAGGAUUCAAAAGAAUUUAGUUUGAAUUAUUCCAUUUUUUUACGUUUUGAAGUAUAAUUCUAUAUGAAGAUCACACUUAUUGAAGUCAAUAAGGUUAUUUUUAUUGUCCACUAGUUUUAAUGUUAAAGUAUUACAUUUAUUAACUCUUCGAUGAUAAACUAAGUUUAUUGGUUCAUAUUUUACUUUUCCAUUAGAACCUAAAGGAAACUUGCAAAUUAUGUUACUCUGUCUUUCAUCAAUAAAGGUAUCACAAAUAAGAUUACA